rnacentral:rRNA from 1 species
UACGUAGGGGGCAAGCGUUGUCCGGAUUUAUUGGGCGUAAAGAGCGUGUAGGCGGUUUGGUAGGUCCGUUGUGAAAACUCGAGGCUCAACCUCGAGACGCCGAUGGAAACCAUCAGACUAGAGUCCGGAAGAGGAGAGUGGAAUUCCUGGUGUAGCGGUGAAAUGCGCAGAUAUCAGGAAGAACACCCGUGGCUAAGGCGGCUCUCUAGUACGGUACUGACGCUGAGCCGCGAAAGCGUGGGGAGCGAACAGG